UGGGGAAUAUUGGACAAUGGGGGGAACCCUGAUCCAGCCAUGCCGCGUGUGUGAAGAAGGCCUUAUGGUUGUAAAGCACUUUAAGCGAGGAGGAGGCUCUCUUGGUUAAUACCCAAGAUGAGUGGACGUUACUCGCAGAAGAAGCACCGGCUAACUCCGUGCCAGCAGCCGCGGUAAUACGGAGGGUGCAAGCGUUAAUCGGAAUUACUGGGCGUAAAGCGCACGCAGGCGGUUUGUUGAGUCAGAUGUGAAAUCCCCGCGCUUAACGUGGGAACUGCAUUUGAAACUGGCAAGCUAGAGUCUUGUAGAGGGGGGUAGAAUUCCAGGUGUAGCGGUGAAAUGCGUAGAGAUCUGGAGGAAUACCGGUGGCGAAGGCGGCCCCCUGGACAAAGACUGACGCUCAGGUGCGAAAGCGUGGGGAGCAAACA
rnacentral:rRNA from 1 species